UGGGGAAUAUUGGACAAUGGGCGAAAGCCUGAUCCAGCCAUGCCGCGUGAGUGAUGAAGGCCCUAGGGUUGUAAAGCUCUUUUGUGCGGGAAGAUAAUGACGGUACCGCAAGAAUAAGCCCCGGCUAACUUCGUGCCAGCAGCCGCGGUAAUACGAAGGGGGCUAGCGUUGCUCGGAAUCACUGGGCGUAAAGGGUGCGUAGGCGGGUUUCUAAGUCAGAGGUGAAAGCCUGGAGCUCAACUCCAGAACUGCCUUUGAUACUGGAAGUCUUGAGUUCGGGAGAGGUGAGUGGAACUGCGAGUGUAGAGGUGAAAUUCGUAGAUAUUCGCAAGAACACCAGUGGCGAAGGCGGCUCACUGGCCCGAUACUGACGCUGAGGUGCGAAAGCGUGGGGAGCAAACA
rnacentral:rRNA from 1 species